rnacentral:rRNA from 1 species
GAUGAACGCUAGCGGCAGGCCUAACACAUGCAAGUCGAGGGGCAUCACGGAUUGCUUGCAAUCUGGUGGCGACCGGCGCACGGGUGCGUAACGCGUAUACAACCUACCUUUUGGAGGGGAAUAGCCCAGAGAAAUUUGGAUUAAUACCCCAUAGUAUAUAGGAAUCUCCUGAUUUUUAUAUUAAACAUUUAUGGCCAUUAGAUGGGUAUGCGUCCUAUUAGCUAGUUGGUGUGGUAACGGCACACCAAGGCUACGAUAGGUAGGGGUCCUGAGAGGGAGAUCCCCACACUGGUACUGAGACACGGACCAGACUCCUACGGGAGGCAGCAGUGAGGAAUAUUGGACAAUGGGCGAGAGCCUGAUCCAGCCAUGCCGCGUGCAGGAAGACUGCCCUAUGGGUUGUAAACUGCUUUUACAGAGGAAGAACCACCCCCACGUGUGGGGGUUUGACGGUACUCUGCGAAUAAGGAUCGGCUAACUCCGUG